UUUAUUCAAAACAAAUCGAACCAGUCGAUUACAUGUCAUACAAAUCACUCUCCACGGAGGAGUAUCUAAAAGCGAGGCCACGUGCAUUCUCUAGGACGACAUUCCAAGUCUCCGAGUCCACGUGCCUCGAACCUCAGGCCCACGUGCAUUCUCUCAGGCGACCUCUUCGCCAAAGUGAUACAUCAAGUCACCGAGCCCACGUGCCCUUUUAGAUGCCUGGGCCCACGUGCAUUCUCUUAGGUGCUAUCUCACCAAAGUGAUGCAUCAAUUCACCGAGCCCACGUGCCCUUUUUACGAUGCCCGGGCCCACGUGCAUUCUCUUAGGUGCUAUCUCACCAAAGUGAUGCAUCAAUUCACCGAGCCCACGUGCCCUUUUAGAUGCCUUGGCCCACGUGCAUUCUCUUAGGUGCUAUCUCACCAAAGUGAUGCAUCAAUUCACCGAGCCCACGUGCCCUUUUAGAUGCCUUGGCCCACGUGCAUUCUCUUAGGUGCUAUCUCACCAAAGUGAUGCAUCAAUUCACCGAGCCCACUCUGUCACCGAGCCACUUGCAUUCUCCAGGACGACAUACCGAGUCUCCGAGCCACGUGCAUUCUCUCAGGCGACCUUUUAGAUGCCAAACUCUGUCACCGAGCCACGUGCAUUCUCCAGGACGACAUACCGAGUCUCCGAGCCACGUGCAUUCUCUCAGGCGACCUUUUCGCCAAGGUGACAUAUUCAACCACUGAACUCACGUGCAUUCUCCAGGUGACAUUCCAAUUCACCAAGCCCACGUGUCCUCUUUCAAGUGGUUACCAAUCUUCUUUCAAUACCGACAACCAAUGCCCAACGAUUUCUCAAUCAAAUAAUUAAAUCAACUCGACAAAGCAUUAUAAAUGCUGAAUAACAAGCCAAUCACCAAUCAAUAAUUCUAUCUCAAUCGAUUCCAAUCAAUUUAGGGUAAAUCCCUAAAAUAUCACAAUUUAUUCAAUUCCAUACAACGUAGAGCUCAAAUAAAUAAACUUCUGAUUUCGGUCGUCGGCCAUCAACAUCUUAAUUUCCGAAAAAUAAUUAAUUAAAUAAUUAAUAUUAAAAAUUCAAUUUAGCUCAAGAUAAAGCCCGAUUAAAUAAACGGACUUCACCACGGUCAUCUGCACAAUAUUCCGGUUCCAGGCCAUCUCAGUUGAAUUUUCGGAAAAUAAAUAAUUAUUUAAUUUAAUUCCGAAAAUUAAUAUUUAAAUACAAAAAAAUCCACUUAGGCCUGAAAAGCCUAAUUGGAGCCCACCAAGGGUCGGGAAAAAUCCCGAGGCACUUCCAAUAAUUAGUAGACCACGUCUACUUGUUAAUUGCACAAUCAAUUUAUCUAAAUCACAUCACAAUUGACUAAUAAUUGCUAAUUUAUUUAAAUCUAACAACCUAAACAUAAUUAAUUAAAACUAAACCAACCUUAAGCAUAAUUAGCCAACUAAUCCUGGAUUAGUGAGAUUACUCACCAAAUCGCGCGCAAAUCGGAUCAAUCCGACGGGGGCGACGCGAGGAACGAAACUUCCCAAAGCACGGCCCGGGUUCGGGGCCCGGAAACGGCCCGAAACGGCCCACGAACCGGCUGAAACCCACUCGCGGGUUUGAUGGAUCGGCUGCAAAACAGAGAGAAAGAGAGAGGGUUGGGGGCGGUAAGAGGUCGGGAGAGCAGGCGGGGCUUUCGGUGAGGCCGGACGGCGGCUCCGGCGGCCUGCUCAGCCGCUCACGGUGGCUGAACAGAGACCGAACGGGAGCUGGGUCGCGCGGCAGGGAUGGCAAGCGCAGGCGGCGCACGGGCGGCGAACGGCGGACGUGCGGCGUGCGCGGGCGUGCGGUGCGGCAGUGGGACAGGCGGCGACGGUGGCUGGCUUCUGCUUCCGAUCUCCUGCAGCUUCUGGUUCGGUUUGCACAGAGAAGAACGAAGAAGAAGAAGAAGGUAAUGUGAGGGAGGAGGCAAGAAGAGAGAGAAGAGAUAAGGGUGGGAGUUUGACCGGUAAAAAAAAAAGAAUAAAAUAAAAUAAAGCAAAGUGGAAGACAGCAAGGGGCGGUCGGCUGGGGGAAAGAAUCGCACGAGGGGGAGGGGAGAGGAGAGAGAAGAGAGAGAAAAGAAAGAGAGAAAAGGGAGAGAGAGAAAAAGAAAAAGAAUAAUACUAUUCUAAAUUUUCUUUUCUCUUUCCAUUUCCCUUUCUAAUUUCUUCCGGUCUUCGAUUUUUCCUCCGAUAAUUUCUUUCUUGAAAUUUCGGACUCGUCAAUAAAUUGAUAGACGAUGAGACGGUCCUAAAAAUGAAUUGUGACACGCUUGAAUAUUCGAUUCCCGAAACCAAUUUAAAUUUCAUGGUUAGAAUCAAUCAAACGCGAUUUUAGUCCAAUCCAACCAAUUGAGUAGCUUUUAGGGAUUUUACCGCGGAUACAUCCCUUAACGGCUUCACCCAAUAGGUUAGUUAACUCGUGAGUGAUCAGCUCAGAGAAAAAGGACCAUAGGCACGUUGACGACAUGCCCAUUUCACUUUAUCGAAAUGGGGUCGAAUUUCAGAAUGUCACAACUCUUCCCCUCUUAUAAAAAUUUCGUCCUCGAAAUUUAAACCAUUAUACACUUUGCUCAAAAAGGCGGGGGUAUAAUUAUCUCAUCGACUCUUCAAUCUCCCAAGUCGCUCCUUUAGCACCGUGGUGUUGCCAGACCACUUUGACCAACGGAAUGGUCUUUGUACGCAGAACUUGCUCUUUGCGAUCGAUAAUUUGAGCCGGGCUUUCCACGUAUGACACACGGUCAUCCACGUCCAAUUCCUUGAAAUUGAGCACGUGGAUCGGGUUAGGCUCGCAUUUCCUUAACCUCGACACGUGAAAGACGUCAUGCACUCACGCCAAACUUGGCGGCAACGCAAGACGAUACGCUAGGUUUCCGAUUCUUUCAAGAAUCUCAAACGAACCUACAUACCUCGGACUCAGUUUACCUUUCUUACCAAAGCGCAAAGUUCCCCUCAUUGGUGACACUUUUAGAAAAACGUGAUCACCAACUUGGAAUUCCAAAGACCUUCGACGCUUAUCUGCAUAACUUUUCUGCCUGCUCUGCGCUGUCUUCAAUCUGUCUCUGAUCACUGCCACGGCAUCUACUGAUUGCUGAACUAACUCUGGGCCCGUUAUCUUCCUUUCUCCGACUUCAUCCCAACACACUGGAGUUCUGCCCGCUCUGCCAUACAACGCUUCAAAUGGAGCCAUCUUGAUACUCUGCUGAUAACUGUUGUUGUAGGCGAAUUCCACCAGAUGAAGCUAAUCCUCCAAACUUCCUUUGAAGUCUAUUACACACGCUCUCAGCAUGUCUUCAAGAGUCUGAAUUAUCCUUUCAGACUGGCCAUCCAUCUGAGGAUGAUACGCUGUACUAUACUGAAGCUUUGUACCUAAAGCACUCUGCAAGCUUUUCCAAAAAGCAUCAGUAAACCUCGAGUCUCUAUUAGAUGUUAUCGUAACCGGCACUCCAUGCAUACGAACCACCUGACACACAUACAGGUCUGCGUGUCUAUCCAGACUCAGGUCCUUUCAAAUUGCAAUGAAGUGAGCCGACUUUGUCAGCCUGUCGACUACUACCCAAAUCGAAUCAUUCCCCCUUUGACUCCUUGGUAGUCCAGUCACGAAGUCCAUCGUGAUAUGCUCCCAUUUCCACUCUGGGAUCGCGAGAGGUUGUAGAAGUCCUCCCGGCUUGCAAUGCUGGGCUUUUACUUGCUGACAAGUCAAACACUUGGCCACAUGCUUGGCGAUGUCCGCCUUCAUACCUGACCACUAGUAAUGUUGACGUAGAUUCUGAUACAUUUUAAUGCUUCUAGGAUGAAUGCCGUAGUUGCUACGAUGUGCUUCAGAUAAAAUUUCUUCUCUAAGCUCAACAUCAUCAGGUACAACCAAACAUCCUUGGAACCUUAGAGUCCCAUCAUCAGAAACUUGAAAAUCAGCUUUUCUUUUCUCGGUAUCCUCUUGAAGAAUUCUCUGCACGUCUGGGUCUGUCGGUUGAAGUUCUUUGAUUCUGACCUGCACAUCUGGUUCAAUUCUGAGGGUGGCCAUAAGACUCGAGAGAUGGCCUACCUCGAAUUUGAAUUUCGAAUCUCGAGUUCUCUCGAUUAAGUUCCACUCUUUAACCAAGAUUUGCGCUAUUGAAGACUUCCGACUCAAUGCAUCGGUGACCUUGUUCGCCUUUCCCGGGUGAUAUAGAAUAUCACAGUCGUAGUCUUUAAGCAAUUCCAUCCAUCGUCGUUGUCUCAUGUUCAACUCUUUUUGAGAGAAUAAAUACUUGAGACUCUGAUGGUCCGUGAAGAUCUUAAACUUUUCUCCGCACAAGUAGUGCCUCCAAAUCUUCAACGCAAAUAUGAUGGCUGCGAGUUCUAAGUCAUGCGUCGGAUAAUUCAAUUCAUGAGGUCUCAACUGCCGGGAAGCGUAUGCAACAACUCUGCCAUGUUGCAUCAGCACGCAACCCAAUUCCUUGAAUAACGCAUCACUAUAGAUCUCGAAUCCUCCAAGACCAGAUGGAAUCGUCAACAUAGGUGCGGUAGUCAGCUUUUCCUUCAGCUCUUGGAAACUACGCUCGCACUUGUCUGACCAUACAAAUUUUUCUUCUUUCUUCAGGAGCUUUGUCAGAGGCGACGCUAUCGAUGAGAACCCUUCCACAAACCGUUUGUAAUAACCUGCUAACCUUAGAAAACUUCUGAUUUCUGUCACUAAUGUCGGUCUUGGCCACUUGAUCACGACUUCUAUCUUGCUCGGGUCGACGGAGAUUCCUUCUCCGGAAAUCACAUGACCUAAGAACACAACUCGAGUCAACCAAAACUCGCAUUUGCUAAACUUAGCAUAUAGCUGAUGAGCUCUUAAGGUCUGAAGCAUUAAUCUCAGAUGAUUCUCAUGCUCUUCAUCACUUCUCGAAUAGACCAAGAUAUCAUCUAUGAACACGAUCACAAACUGAUCAAGAUAUUCCUUGAACACUCUGUUUGUCAUAUCCAUGAAAGCAACUUGAGUGUUCACCAAGCCAAACGAUCUUAUAAUACUCUCGUAAAGACCAUAUCAAGUACGAACAGCUGUCUUUCGUACAACCUCCUUCCUGGUUCGUAACUAACGACUUCAUAAUCUCAAGUCGACCUUUAAAACAUCAAUACUCUUUAUAACUAGUCACACUAUUCAUUGAUCUUUGGCAAAGAACACUUGUCCUUGAUCUUCACCUAAUUGAGUUGACGAUGGUCGGUGCACACUCACAACAAACCAUCUUUCUUCUUCUCACAAACAAAACUGAUGUUUCCCAAAAGUGAUGCACCGAUAUACACGAAUUCCUCAUUCAUCAAUCUUCACAUCUGCAUCUUCAAUUCUACCAAUUCAGACAACAACAAUUGGUAAGAAGCCUUCGAGAUCGGCUUUAUCCUGGUGCUAGCUCGAUUGCACUUUCUCUCUUUUUCUGACGACGGUCUGGCAGUUCUAGUGACAACACAUCUAGAAUUUUGUAGACCACUGAGAUGUCCUCCAUCUGUAGUUCUCCAAUCUGUCCUAUCCAAGACAAUCGCGCAAGCAACCUUGGUAACCUCCGUCUAACAAACAAGUUGCCUUCAACCAGUAAGAUUAAUGAAAUCAAAGAUUCUUUUCGACUCCCAAUAACCUCGACACUUUCACAUGCUAAUGGACUAAACUGGCUUACUCCAAGAUCAUGAUUCAUUAUCACUAGAUGCUCCAUGAGCCCACACUAUUCAUGUGGCAUCAAACUCACACCUCAGCAACUAGUCAAGCACAACUAUUGCUAGUGAUUCCCCCUCUUUCACUUUUACGUCAACAAUUUAAGUUCUACCAACUCAGCACAAAACUCUGCUACGUUACUCUGAUAAAAUCACCUCCAAUACAUUCUUUCUCUAAUCGGUGCAAGAUCAAUUCUACUCCCAUUCCUUUCGCCAUCCUAGUGGCGUUCUGGCCGCAGUAGCGAUGCCUAUGCUAUCUUGGACUUCCACUGACAAUCCUUCACCUGAUGGCCAUACUAGUCAUCAUCACAACAUGUUCUAGUCAUACUCAGACACUAGAUUUAUCCAUACUUCCUUCUACAAUUCUGACACCUAUCUGGUGCAUCUUCUAUCUUCUAUUAGGCAAAAGCAUGCACUCUUUCUGGUUGCCCCAUCAUUAUGCUAGGAUCACUCCUGACCAGAUAUCCUUGUUAGCUAUACUCCAAACAAAUUUGCGUCCUAGGAAGGACAUAAUACCGAUCUCCAUCAUCACGUCCGAAAACAACCUGAUCUAUUUGACUCGGUGCUGGCUUGACUACUCCAUCCUUCCUCGUGAGUGGAAUAGAAUGCUUUUCUCUCGACCUCGGUCUUUUCCCUGACCGAUUUCCAUUUCUGCCUGAACUGGAUCUAUACCUCGACUCGAAUGCAAUGACUCGCUCUUGGAUCACAUCUCAACUCUGGAUCUCAGCAUGUGAGGUGACAACGGCGGCUUGAUCCUGAGCUUGUUGGCUCAUCUAGUUCCCAAGGAACACUAGCAUCAGAACGAUCCUAUCAAACUUAGGAUCAUUCGACGCUGCUACACUAGUACCAACUUGCGGUGGUACUCUUACACUCGAGCUGGCCAGAGUCAACACUCUGCCACAACCACCUCGGGUACCGACCUUUGUCAGUGCAUCAUCCCGAGUCACAGAGGACAUUGUCCUCUUACAAGGAGUCCUCAACUCCUGCUCGCUCAUGGUUCAGUCUUUACACUGAAACCCUUCUUCCAAAUCCACACUGGAUUAGAAGAUGAGCGAUCCACACACAAUAAACAAUUUUAGCAUUCAGCUAACACAGACAUGCACCAGCAUGAAUUUAAAGACCUUUCCUACUAAUUCUCCCAUGGUCAACGCUCCUUAUCACUCCAAUCUUCAACUUCGCUCUGAUACCACAAAAAUGGGAUGUCACGCCCCGAUCCUUAGGCACGCACACAUCCUUCUCUUGGUCGAUUUUAAAAUGUGAUAUCCCAGGACAAUGUAUCGCCGACUCUUUCAUUUAUUAAGCACAUGCGGAAGCAGUUAAAAUCCCCAGGCAAUAAAACGAUGGGAUAGAAAAGCAAGGCCAUAUUUUUCAUAUUGAAAUUUAUAACCAAACUUUUAUACGAAACACAAACCACUUCAUAACUAUUCACUUCAAAAUGGAAUUUUCAAAAGAAGAUAGACUCUCAGUCCAUCCGGGCCGUACUCAAGACCCCUCUCGGGAUUAUCUUCUUCUUCCAAAAUCCUUCUCCUCAAGUUUUACCUCCGAGUUCUCCUUCCCAGACUUCUCCUUCUCAGCUUCUCAUCGGGGUCCUAAAAUGGUUUUCCCCAAACUGGGAUGAGACUACGUCUCAGCGAGUUCUACCCCCACUAAGCCCGAUUAGAUAAACCAUUAUACUAUAGGCUGCCUAAACACGCACAGAGCAGAGGACUUACCUUGGCCUCAGAUCUCAUCUACAAAUCAGUACAAUUCACAAUAGGCACCCAUUUAUUCAAAACAAAUCGAACCAGUCGAUUACAUGUCAUACAAAUCACUCUCCACGGAGGAGUAUCUAAAAGCGAGGCCACGUGCAUUCUCUAGGAUGACAUUCCAAGUCUCCGAGUCCACGUGCCUCGAACCUCGGGCCCACGUGCAUUCUCUCAGGCGACCUCUUCGCCAAAGUGAUACAUCAAGUCACCGAGCCCACGUGCCCUUUUAGAUGCCU
rnacentral:lncRNA from 1 species